UCCGUAGGUGAACCUGCGGAGGGAUCAUUACCGAGUUUACAACUCCCAAACCCUUAUGUGAACCGUACCUAUCGUUGCUUCGGCGGGAACGCCCCGGCGCCCUGCGCCCGGAUCCAGGCGCCCGCCGGAGACCCCAAACUCUUGUGUUUUUUUCAGUAUUCUCUGAGUGGCAAACGCAAAAAUAAAUCAAAACUUUUAACAACGGAUCUCUUGGCUCUGGCAUCGAUGAAGAACGCAGCGAAAUGCGAUAAGUAAUGUGAAUUGCAGAAUUCAGUGAAUCAUCGAAUCUUUGAACGCACAUUGCGCCCGUUAGCAUUCUAGCGGGCAUGCCUGUCCGAGCGUCAUUUCAACCCUCAGGGUCCCCGUUCCGGCGGGGAACCUGGUGUUGGGGAUCGGCCCGCCCCGUGCGGCGCCGUCCCCCAAAUUCAGUGGCGGUCUCGCUGCAGCCUCCCCUGCGUAGUAGUUACAACCUCGCAUCGGAGCUCAGCGCGGCCACGCCGUAAAACCCCCCGACUUUCUGAACGUUGACCUCGGAUCAGGUAGGAAUACCCGCUGAACUUAAGCAUAUCAAUAAGGCGGGAGGGGAAGGUCGGACUGGCCAAGGGCACACAGGGGGGGAUA
rnacentral:rRNA from 1 species